GUCCCCUUCGUCUAGAGGCCUAGGACACCGCCCUUUCACGGCGGUAACAGGGGUUCGAAUCCCCUAGGGGACGCCA
rnacentral:tRNA from 639 species